rnacentral:tRNA from 1 species
UAUAAUUUGGUGUAUGAUGCAUAAAAAUUUUUGAUAUUUUAGGUAAUAGUUUAAUUCUAUUAAUUAUAA